AGGAAUCAGAGAUAAGAAUGUUAUUAGCAAAUUUCAUAAUCUCCAAUUCGCAGAUGACACACUCAUCUUUAGUGGGCCACUCAGAGAAAAUAUCACUUCCUUGAAGUUUAUUCUCUACUCUUAUGAAUUACUCACUGGGUUAAAAAAUAAUUUUGAAAAGUCUACGAUUAUUGGAAUUGGUAUCACGAACAAACACAGAGAUCAGAUCGCCAACA
rnacentral:lncRNA from 1 species